GAUGAACGCUGGCGGCGUGCCUAAUACAUGCAAGUCGAGCGAACGGACGAGAAGCUUGCUUCUCUGAUGUUAGCGGCGGACGGGUGAGUAACACGUGGAUAACCUACCUAUAAGACUGGGAUAACUUCGGGAAACCGGAGCUAAUACCGGAUAAUAUUUUGAACCGCAUGGUUCAAAAGUGAAAGACGGUCUUGCUGUCACUUAUAGAUGGAUCCGCGCUGCAUUAGCUAGUUGGUAAGGUAACGGCUUACCAAGGCAACGAUGCAUAGCCGACCUGAGAGGGUGAUCGGCCACACUGGAACUGAGACACGGUCCAGACGCCUGCGGGAGGCAGCAGUAGGGAAUCUUCCGCAAUGGGCGAAAGCCUGACGGAGCAACGCCGCGUGAGUGAUGAAGGUCUUCGGAUCGUAAAACUCUGUUAUUAGGGAAGAACAUAUGUGUAAGUAACUGUGCACAUCUUGACGGUACCUAAUCAGAAAGCCACGGCUAACUACGUG
rnacentral:rRNA from 1 species